ensembl:lncRNA
CAAGACAAGACCUUGUCUGUGUCUGCCCCUGGGUCGUUAGAGUGGGAGUGACCGGUGUGUGUUGUCAGGGCGAUGGCAUCAUCCGUAGAUCUGUCGGGGUGGUAUGCCAAUUGAAAGCGGUCCACGGUGUCAGGAAGGGUGGAGCAGAUGUGAGUUCUGACCAGCCACUUGAAGCACUUCAUGAUGAUGGAGGUCAGUGUUACAGGGUGGUAGUCAUUCACUUCAUGAUGGUGGAGGUCAGUGUUACAGGGUGGUAGUCAUUCACUUCAUGAUGGUGGAGGUCAGUGUUACAGGGUGGUAGUCAUUCACUUCAUGAUGGUGGAGGUCAGUGCUACAGGGUGGUAGUCAUUCACUUCAUGAUGGUGGAGGUCAGUGUUACAGGGAGGUAGUCAUUAAUGAUGAUGGAGGUCAGUGUUACAGGGUGGUAGUCAUUCACUUCAUGAUGGUGGAGGUCAGUGCUACAGGGUGGUAGUCAUUCACUUCAUGAUGGUGGAGGUCAGUGUUACAGGGUGGUAGUCAUUCACUUCAUGAUGGUGGAGGUCAGUG